rnacentral:rRNA from 1 species
GUAGGGUGCAAGCGUUGUCCGGAUUUAUUGGGCGUAAAGCGCGUGUAGGCGGUCAGGCAGGUCUGACGUGAAAUCUCGAGGCUCAACCUCGAUAGGUCGUUGGAAACCACCUGGCUAGAGUCCGGAAGAGGAGAGUGGAAUUCCUGGUGUAGCGGUGAAAUGCGCAGAUAUCAGGAAGAACACCGAUGGCGAAGGCAGCUCUCUGGGACGGUACUGACGCUGAGACGCGAAAGCGUGGGGAGCGAACAGGAUUAGAUACCCUGGUAGUCCUAGCCGUAAACGAUGGGUGCUAGGUGUGGGAGGUAUCAACCCCUUCCGUGCCGAAGCUAACGCAUUAAGCACCCCGCCUGGGGAGUACGGCCGCAAGGCUA